GACGAACGCUGGCGGCGUGCCUAAUACAUGCAAGUAGAACGCUGAAGGAGGAGCUUGCUCUUCUGGAUGAGUUGCGAACGGGUGAGUAACGCGUAGGUAACCUGCCUGGUAGUGGGGGAUAACUAUUGGAAACGAUAGCUAAUACCGCAUAAUAACAGUUGUUGCAUGACAACUGUUUGAAAGGUGCAAUUGCAUCACUACCAGAUGGACCUGCGUUGUAUUAGCUAGUUGGUGGGGUAACGGCUCACCAAGGCGACGAUACAUAGCCGACCUGAGAGGGUGAUCGGCCACACUGGGACUGAGACACGGCCCAGACUCCUACGGGAGGCAGCAGUAGGGAAUCUUCGGCAAUGGACGGAAGUCUGACCGAGCAACGCCGCGUGAGUGAAGAAGGUUUUCGGAUCGUAAAGCUCUGUUGUAAGAGAAGAACGAGUGUGAGAGUGGAAAGUUCACAC
rnacentral:rRNA from 1 species